CCACCUACAGAAGUGCUCGUUUUGUGCGGGCAAACUCCUCCUCAUUGCAUCCCAUUCCUGAAAAUACACCACAUUUAUCUCGAACGACAAAAUGAAGGUCGAGCUGACGAUGCAGUACCUGGAUGAGUGGAUGCUGCGCUGGCGCAAGUUCCAGACGGAGAGCGACUGGCAGAUUGAGAAGAACCGCCAGUGGUGGCGGCAGGCAAACAUUGUGACCGCUGGUGCGGUGAUGGGGGGUCUUGUCAUGUACACCGCCGGCGCGGCGACCAUCCGCCGCCAGUUCGGCGCCCCGCACUUUUUCGACGUCGGUGUGGACGCUAAGAUCAAGGAAGCGAUCUGCGAUACCAUGACGAGCCGCUGGCGCUACACCCCGCAGGGAUACGGACGUCUGAUGCUGGUGGGGCUGCCCACCUUCUUUGUCUUCGCGAUUUCCGAGCACAUCCAGGAACGCCGCCGCCUCCGCGCCUACGUGAGGCAGAAUACCGUGUUUGGUGAGCAGGCGCGCCGCCUCGUGCAGAAUGGCAAAAUCGAGGAAUACCUCGCGGUAGACAUCAAGGCCUCGCUCCCGCAGAACCAAUCGCAGCUUUACGCGUAAGCUUGAGCGGAGGCGCUGGCGGACUCGGCGACAGGCUUGGGCAAGAGGAAGCGACAUAGUGGGGAGCGAAGUGAGGGGCAGAACAGCAUCGCACAUGUGACUCCAGGGUUUCGAAUCAUCAUGGGCGCCUGUGCAUCACUGUGCGCUGGGGGCCGCCAUUGCUGUUGAAAAGCCUCUCCCCUCCACGGCUCGUACGUGCUUGUGUAUGCCCCCCCUCGCAUAUUCGUCCCCCCUCCCCUACCGACACACCCACAUGCUCGCAUGCGCGCGCGCUCAUAUUUCGAGCACCGAAAGUGCGCGCUUUUCUCUCCUUUCCAGAGUCUGCACUGUUGCCGAGUUUGUGUGUGCGUUGUUGUUGGAAGCUUUCGCUCUCCUCCCGUUGUUCUCUUUUCCUCCGUCUUAUAGCGUAGUAGUAGUUUGGUAGGUAAGCUGGAUGAUGGCGCGCGUGCCCCCCCCCUCCUCCUUCCCGCUUCCGCCCACCGCGCCGGAGCAGUCGUGCAAAGGAACAGGAAUAUACAUAUAUAUUUGCACGAGCUGUUCACUAACGUCUGUUUUCAUUCUGCCAGGCAUCAUCCCCCACCCCCUUUAAGCGGCGAAGGGGAAAAAACAAGAAUAACUAUGAAAGC
rnacentral:misc_RNA from 1 species